GUCUGUAUGAAGUUGUAUGGAGUCUAACCUGCCCAAUGAAUAAAUUUAAAAGGCCGCGGUAUUUUGACUGUGCAAAGGUAGCAUAAUAAUUAGUUUUUUAAUUGGAAACUUGAAUGAAUGGUUGGACAAAGAAAAAGCUGUCUUUAAUAUUUUUUUUGAAUUUUACAUUUAAGUGAAAAGGCUUAAAUACAUUUAAAGGACGAUAAGACCCUAUAAAUCUUUACAUUUUUAUACACUUAUAUAAUUUAGAUAAAAAUAAUUAAGAUGUUAAAUGAGAUGUUUUAUUGGGGUGAUAAAGAUACAAUUAUAAACUGUCUUAAUAAUAAAACAAAUGUGUUUGGUGAAAAAAAGAUCCUUUAUAAAGAUUAAAAGUUAAAGAUACUUUAGGGAUAACAGCGUAAUUUUUUUUGAGAGUUCUUAUCGAAAAAAAAGUUUGCGACCUCGAUGUUGAAUUAAAAAUUUCCUUAUGGUGCAGAAGUUAUAAAGGAGAGUCUGUUCGACUUUUAAAUUUUU
rnacentral:rRNA from 1 species